rnacentral:lncRNA from 1 species
GCCCUCCUCCUGCCUGGAUGGAUGCAGGGGUGUUUCACACUUAAGGAGAAAAGGGGUUUAAAAAAAAAGAAAAAGAAAGAAAUCCACGCUUUUCUGUCCUCUUGCCUUUGGCUGUGAACUUUCCCUUCUGGUAAGUUCUCCUUUAAGAAAUGAACUGUUCCCCUAUGAAUAUUUAAUGCUGUUUGUCUGCAGGAUCCAGAUGACGCGGGCUGGAGUCUCACACACAGAACCUGAAUUAUGGUGGGGCAAAUCCGCCACACGCCAAGCGCUGCCUCGGGCCUGGGAUUUUGCUCCAAAUGAGACCGGUUUCCUGUCUGUGUUCGAAGGGGGCGAAGUCUACAGGCUGCUGUUUUAAAAGGAGGCUGAGAGGGGGGGGAAAUCAGAAACAAAAAUGUGUUUUCAAAAGAUCUCCGCCACCGGCAGCCAGGUUUAGACAUGGAGCUGACGUUCCGAGACCAGAGCAACUGUGUGACAAGAUAAAGAUCCAAAGAUAGAAACUGUGUAGACUGGUUAUUUCUCUUCGGCGGUGUGUGGUUCCCGUCCUCGUUCUAGGCCAUGGGCUUUCAUGUGACAUCCGUCCCUCUAUAAAAGGCUAAGGAGGCGAAUCCAUUAGGAGAGAGAGAGAGAGAGAGAAAAGACUGCCGUGGUCUCUAGAGGACUCUGAUUGCCACCAAGGUGGGGGUAAAUUGUGGAGAGAGAAAGGGGGCAGCUCCCAAGUGCUCUCAGUCAGUGAGGAACUGGGGGGGGGGAGUUCAAAGUAGGAGUCGUCAAGCCAAUGGGGUUGGAUGGAGGGUCACCUUUGCACUCUACUGCAUCCCUCAGCCAUUUGGGGGUGGUCUGUUAGGCCGCUGGGCACGUUGGGAUCGUCGAACCUCUCUGUCUACCCUCGUUGAGCCAAUUCUUCCUCAGACAGGCUCCUUCGCACCGGCAGGCAUCUGGUUUUGAUAUAUUGACCCGGCUGGUAUGGAAAUGCAAGGCGGGGGUGGGUG